UCCGGUUUGUCACCGGCAGUCUCAUUAGAGUGCCCUUUCGUAGCAACUAAUGACAAGGGUUGCGCUCGUUGCGGGACUUAACCCAACAUCUCACGACACGAGCUGACGACAGCCAUGCAGCACCUGUGUUACGGCUCUCUUUCGAGCACCCCUCGAUCUCUCAAGGGUUCCGUACAUGUCAAGGGUAGGUAAGGUUUUUCGCGUUGCAUCGAAUUAAUCCACAUCAUCCACCGCUUGUGCGGGUCCCCGUCAAUUCCUUUGAGUUUUAAUCUUGCGGCCGUACUCCCCAGGCGGAUGACUUAAUGCGUUAGCUGCGCCACCGAAAGCCUAAGGCCCCCGACAGCUGGUCAUCAUCGUUUACGGCGUGGACUAC
rnacentral:misc_RNA from 1 species